UACGAAGGUGGCAAGCGUUGUUCGGAUUUACUGGGCGUACAGGGAGCGUAGGCGGUUGGGUAAGCCCUUCGUGAAAUCUCCGGGCCUAACCCGGAAAGUGCGGAGGGGACUGCUCGGCUAGAGGAUGGGAGAGGAGCGCGGAAUUCCCGGUGUAGCGGUGAAAUGCGUAGAGAUCGGGAGGAAGGCCGGUGGCGAAGGCGGCGCUCUGGAACAUUUCUGACGCUGAGGCUCGAAAGCGUGGGGAGCGAACGGG
rnacentral:rRNA from 1 species